GCCACGGUGAUCUAGCGGUUAGAACGCUGGCCUUGUAAUCCUGGGGUCUCGGGUUCGAUUCCCGGCGGUGCCC
rfam:Zootermopsis nevadensis contig16067, whole genome shotgun sequence.